AGAGAGAGAGAGAGGGAGACACAGAAUCCGAAGCAGGCUCCAGGCUCCAAGCUGUCAGCACAGAGCCCGACAUGGGCCUCGAACUCACGGACCUUGAGAUCAUGACCUGAGCCAAAGUCAGAUGCUUAACCACCUGAGCCACCCUGGUGCCCCAGGGCUCACCACUUUUGACUGUAGGAGCUGAGAUGUGAACAGAGGCAGUUUGGCAUUGAGUACGUUGCUACUCAUGACAGUAACCCCCAAUGAGAGGAUGCUUGCAGAACUUCCGUGACAAGUUGAGUUCCACUUUGUGCACGGUGGAUGUGUUCCAUGUCCAACUGUAUGGCAAAAAUCACAUACUGUAAAUGUUAUUUUUAAAAAACCCUUAAAUCUUCAUUUUUUUUCUCCUUUCAGCCCUCCUUCUUUACCUCUCCCCCAUCCUUUUUUACUUUUAUUUCCCAGCCAAGUACAGAUAUUUUCAUUCAUAUAAUUAAACAGAAUUGUGUACUGUAAAGGUCCAGAAUUCCAUCCGCGUGUAAGGUCCCAGUGUUAUGCGGUUGUUACAGACUGACUUGUGUCCCCUGAAAUUGGUAUGUUGAAGCUAUAGUCCCCACUGCAACCGUACGGGGGGUUAGGUCCUCUGUAGAGGUGAUUAGGGUCGCAUGAGGUCAUAAGGGGGGUCCUAACCCAGUAGGACUGCUUUCACAAGAGGAGGAAGAGACCGGAGCUGUUGCUCACGCAGAGGAUGUCACACAUCGCUCUGAGGAUACCGCAAGAAGGUGGCCGUCUGUAAGCCAAGGAGAGAAGCCUCCAGAGCAACCGUGCCAACGCCAUGAUUCUGAACUUCUAGCCCCCAUGUUUAUUGUGAGAAGACAAGUAGACCAGGCCCCUGGUGUGCCAUACUUUGUCAUGGCAGCCUGAGCGGAUGGAGACAGCCCAAACCUGCCUGACACGCCAGAUUGCUCUUUACUGACUUCACUUCAAGCAUGGUUGGUUGUUUUAUUUUAUUUCUUUUUUAUUUUCUUCCUUGUCAAGUUAGCUAGCAUUCGGUGUAGUCUCGGCUUUCAGGAGGAGAUUUGUCACUUACCUGCAGCACCCAGUGCUCAUCCCAGCCAGCGCCCCCCCCACCCCCAUCAACACUCUGUAUUUAAUUUUUUAAGAGUUUCAUAUUUGUUUCUCAGAACCAGAACUGAGCGGUUUCCUUGCAGAGGCCGCUACCGUCGCACCCUGUCCAAAGGCCAGAUCUGAGCGGCCAGCGUGCUGUGUCGCUGCAUGUGACCCUGCGUGGGCAGAAGGCCACACCUCUAGCGACCCGGGAACUUGGAAGGGUUGACAGCAUCUCUCCAAUUGUAAGCGCCCUCCCUCCGUCGCCCGCUUUCACGCAACCAGCCCGCUUGCCGAAGUGAGCCCUGGUAGAGACAGGUCACAGAGCACUUCAAACCUGGCAACUGGAGGAAAUUGCGAACACAGGGUGAAUGCAUGGGGUUUGCUCAUGAGCUGCUCUCCUGCUCACCUGCCUCAUGCUGGAGGCCCUGCUGGGGUGACUGAGGAACAGCUAGAAGAAGGGAAAGCCAAAGGAUGCUGCCAGGAACACCGGGCACCUGGACAGUCCUAUUAAGAUCGAGAAGAAUGGAGGGGGCGCCUGGGUGGCUCAGUCAGUUAAGUGUCCGACUUCGGCUCAGGUCAUGAUCUCGCAGUUCGUGAGUUCCAGCCCCACGUCGGGCUCUGUGCUGACACCUCGGAGCCUGGAGCCUGCUUCGGAUUCUGUGUCUCCCUCUCUCCCUCCCUGCCCCUCUCCCACUCGUGCUCUGUCUGUCUCUGUCUCUCAAAAAUAAAUAAACAUUAAAAAUUUCUUUAAAAAAAUUAUCAAGAAGAAUGGAGCCACGUCAGGGCCGGGCAUUUCCCUCACUUAUGUCUGUAGUCCCCAGUUCUAGAAAAAUGCCUGGCACCCUGGAGGUGUUCAAGUGCACGUGCUGAGUAGAAUGAGCUAAUGAAGGCACGGAUGGAAAGGACACACGUUUCUCAUUUAUUCCACCAACAGUUUUGCGUGAACUAGAUAAUGAGAGCUGAGGGAAAGAAGAUCCCCAGGUGCCCCAUGCAGGGGUUUUCAAGCCGCUGUGUCUCAUCCUCAAGGGAAUACAAGAUGGAGGCAGAAAGCCAUCAGAGGGUGGAGCGUUAGCUUCCGCACAGAAGCUCAGCCCACGUUCCCAACCCCGCCACCAUGAAGACACGCACGUCGAACUCUGUGUGGCGUGGAGGAGGAGACGAGACCUUCUUUCAGAAACACCCAGACCGCGUGGACUGCUUGCCAUGUGAUGCGUUCGUUGAAGGGGACAGGAAGUGUUUCCUCCAAAGCAAAGGAGACCAAGAAAUGGGAAGUGACAUCACGUUCCAUUUCACUCUAUGAAAAACCAGCUUGAGUCUUUCCAGGAGGGUACUGCCCAUCUCCCCGGCCCCUGUGACCAGCACCUCCGGGUUGUGACAUGUGAGCUGGUUGAGAUGGUGUGGUUUGGGGACAGGUGGAGAUGGUUGGAGUUUCCUCUUUUAUGAACCAGAAGAUCCCUGUAGACCCCUCAGUGGGGUUGGGGUUUUUCUGCCUAGCCCAGACACCCUGUUGCCUAUGGUGGACCCAUGUCGGUCGGUGCUCCUGGGUUAGGCCACUAUCUCCACCUCAGGUAAUGAAAUGGUUUUAAUCCCUGUCUGCUCUCUUACCUUUUCACCUCACACACUUCUUUGUUUUCCAUUAGGGUUCAUGUCAGUUUGUUUCUUCUGGUUUUGGGUUUGAAGGCUCAUAAGAAAAUAACUCAAAGCGUAAGACAGAAGAAUACAGUAGCAGGAAGAGAGCGAGACAUGGAGAUGUAUACGCACACACAUGUGCACGGACACGCACACAACUCAGUACCACGUCAUGACUGAGACAGAGAUUGCAGUGAUGAGGCUGCAAGACGAUGAACGCAGGGUUGCUGGCCACCCCAGAAGCUGGAAGAGGCCACCCAGUUUGUAGUGCUUCCUGAUGGCAGCCACAAGAAGCUAAUAUAAUGCCUAAGGAGGUGAUUUGUACAAGAGUCCUUCUGGGCUGAGAGAAAGAGGUCUGAACUGGAGGAUGAGAAGACCCUAAGGGAGAAUGUUCCAGGCAGAGGGAAGAGCACUCGUUUGGGCAACGUGAUGCUAUCUCAUUUAUACUUAAGAAUCAUUAUGCAAUGCAACUAUCAUAAACACUAAGAAAAUAAAUAGGUGUGAAAUUGUAUAGCAUGUUUCCAUCCCUGGAAUGAUUGAAAUAGGUAUUAUUAUGUUAUAUUAUCCCAGUGGACGUAAAUAAAAAGCAUUCAUACUUUAAUAAAGAUUACCUACUUGCAGUGAAAUGUGUUAUAGUGAAAGUCAUUUGCACUUCCUCAGAGUAUUAAAAAUACCGCCGUUUUCAGAACCGUAAGGGACAUUCGAGGUUAUCUCUGGAAGAACUCUCUUGUUAAAGCUGA